ACCGUAAUAGCUCAGUUGGGGGAGCGUUAGACUAUAGAUCGAAAGGUCCCUGGUUCGUAUCCGGGAUUAGGCA
rnacentral:tRNA from 1 species